GUCAACUACCCCCGGUUAAAACCGGGGGCUUGCAGCGGGGGCCCCUUGCGGGGCACAGGGCUGCAAUUUAAUCGGUGCGAAGGUUGAC
rnacentral:ncRNA from 1 species